rnacentral:lncRNA from 1 species
CCACAGCCGUCAUCAAUCAUUGUAAUCACUAAUCAUUCACUACCGAAUAUACAAAUUAAAAAAAGAAAAUCUUUAAUACAGAAAAUCUUGUGGAUGAAAUUGAGCCACGUCUCAAUCACUGGUUAAUCGUUUAGGAAAAUGUAUUUGUUUUGUCUUUUUUUUUUUAAAAGGAUUGAUAAACAAAGUUGUCGGUUUUGUCUGCUUUGUUGUCAUUUGAAGGUCUAAUUUUCACCUUACCUAAGCAAAAUUUAUCAUAAAAAAAUUGAUACAAUUUCAU